AACGAACGCUGGCGGCAGGCUUAACACAUGCAAGUCGAACGCCCCGCAAGGGGAGUGGCAGACGGGUGGGUAACGCGUGGGAACAUACCCUUUUCUACGGAAUAGCUCUGGGAAACUGGAAUUAAUACCGUAUACGCCCUCCGGUGGAAAGUUUUAUCGGGGAAGUAUUGGCCCGCGUUGGAUUAGCUAGUUGGUGGGGUCAAGGCCUACCAAGGCGACGAUCCAUAGCUAGUCUGAGAGGGUGAUCAGCCACAUUGGGACUGUGACACCGCCCUGACUCCUACGGGAGGGCGCAUUGGUGAAUAUAGGAAAAUGGGCGCAGGCCUGAUCCAUCCAUGCCGGGAGAGUGAUGAAGGCCUUAGGGUUGUAAAGCUCUUUCACCGAUGAAGAUAAUGACGGUACUCGGAGAAGAAGCCCCGGCUAACUACGUG
rnacentral:rRNA from 1 species